UAGAAUUAUUGUUGCAUUAUAUAAAAUUGUUUAGACACAAAUAACUUACGUACAAUUGAACAAUUUACAUUGACCCAAAAGCAAUCACAGCGAUUUCAAAUAUAUAAAUUUCAUUGCAACAACAAAAUUGCAAUAAGAAAUGGAGAAUAUAUAAAACCCUUAAUUAAAACCCUAAGUUGAUUUUGAACUCUAAUUGAGGAUGACUGGAUACUGAGGGUCUACAUGUGGCAUCAAGCCUCAAUUCUUCCGAUUGCCAAUCCAAAAUUAUCAUUCUGUCACAUCUUUAACGUCAUUGCAAUUCUCGCACGACUCAAAACUCUAAGAAUCUAGGGGGUAAGCCCAAUCCACAAUAAUAGUAAAGGGUCACAAUCUAAAAACAACAUAUAUAUGAAAAUACCAAGCACAAAAGCAUAACAUAACAUGGCAUCAAUUGAUAAACAAGCAUGCAUAUAAAUAUCAUCAUACAACAAACAUGACUCGUGUGACAAAGCACCAUAAUACAAUGCUUAUAUGCUAGUGCACAUGAUUCCGGAAUUUCCACACCUUCCUCGAUAGGCGUAAAUCAUAAAUGUACCGCCUCUCACAGACCAAUACUAAUUAUCAAGGUGUCACCUAUCACAUAUCAACACUAUUUACUAGAGUGCAGUCUAUCACAAACCUACACCACUCCAAAAUCCCUGUAAGGAUAAGGUGGACUGAUCAACGACUCUAAAACUCUUGUAAGGAUAAGGUGGACCAAUCAACUCAAGGAACCAAUCAAUGGACCAUCACGGUCACCACUAACAUUGUGGCCCAUCACGGUCACCACUAACAUUGUGGCCCAUCACGAUCACCACUAACUAUAAAAUGCAUGAGUAUACUUUGACUCUUCUACAUCAAUCAUUAUGUAAAUGCAGCUAUUAAAAGACUCCCUUUUAAUACUCAUUAAACACUAAUAGUUUUCAAUACUUUUUCACAGAGCAUACUCAAGACAUAUUCUCAUCAAUAAAAUUCAUAACACAUGUUUAUUCACCUACAUAAACAAUCGUGUGCAUCUUUAUUCACCACAAGCACAAAGAACAUGUAUACAGACACACUCUGCAUUCAAGCAUAUAUAAUAUCGUUAGAAAGUGCCCUUACCUCGACAGUGUUUUAUUACACAAGUAACUUAUGUGUCACCCGCAUAACCUAUUCGACGAUUUCAACGAUACCUCUCAAUUUCCUUGUACCUUAAAUCAAUCAACUAACUUAAUCAAUACAAGAUUCUAAACCAACCCCCAACUGAACCCUAGGUUCAACCACUAUCUGAAUCAAUUAGGGUUUGACUUUUCGCUUAGGUUCUUUAACUUCAAAAGGAUUUUGGUUUAAGUAUUUUGACGAACGCAAGUUUCAAAACACUUAUGCCGCACUUUGAAAAUCUUGAAAUUGUUUUUCAAACUUAUUGAAGUUCAACUCAAAUAUUUGUCUUUAACAACUUAGGACAAAAUAUUUUCUUAAUAAAAUCAAUCAAAGACAAAUAUACUCACAUCGUUUGAAAUUUCGAUUAAAUCAUCCAUCAACAUCAUAAAUUUCAACACUUUAAUAUUUGAAAACUAGUAGAAGAUUUUUAUCAAGAAAUCUUAUAAAUAAAUAAAAACUCAAAUACUAAGAGUUCCAAAAUUCUAAAAACUCAAAAUCAUGAUUCUUCCACUUUGACAUUUUUCAAACUUUAAUCUUUAUCAAUUAUGCUUUGUAUAUAAACUUUCACAUAAAAUCCACAUUUUUACAUCCACACCAAAUAUUUUCCAAGUUCACAAUUUUCUUUUAAGUCUCCAACUAAAAUCUUCAUUCCUAAUAAAAUCACAUAUCAAAAUCCAAAAUUAUAAUCAGUCAUUGUUUUUCAAAAUACCUAAAUAAUUUUUCAACCUCCAAUUUUAGCAUAAAGUUGACCUCUAUUAUAAAAUUUAAAACUUUUAACUUCAAAACUUAAGAUUGAAACUUUAUUCAAAAAGUGAAUAUUUCUCUUUUAAACCUUCUUGAUAUGCAAAAUUUGAACUCUAUAUAUAUAUAUUCAAAGUCGUGAAGUUUGAAACUUUGUUUCUCAAAGAUAAAUCUCUUCAUAAAAAUUGAUAAUUUAGUAUCAAUGACUAAAACUUUUUAUUUUAAUCUAUAAAUGUGGAAACCUUGAUUUCACAAAAAACCCUAAAGAUAAAACCUUUAAUACCUUAACAAGUAAAGUUAAAUCAACAUUUAAACGAACUUUUGAACUCUCUUUCUAUAUAUAUACUACUUUGCUAAAAUCCAUUUUACACAUCAAAGUCUUUCAAAAAAAAUUCCAAAUCCAAAUCUAGUUUAAAAAACCUUAAAUAAUCAAGGUCAACAACUCAUAUAGUUUCAAAUUUUAAACGACUCCAAAUUUUUAAUUUAUACCACCAUUAAAAAUCACAAGAGAAUUUUUUUUCUAAAUUCUUUAAAGUUCAUAAAAUUUCAAUCACUCAAAUACUUCUGAAUUAAAAUAAACCACAAUAAUUCAUUUACCACUUUAUUUCAAAACUUAUUCCAAAUAUUUUGUCAUGACCUUUUUGUUUCUAUCUCGUUUCUUUAAAAAUUUCAACGCCUCAAACAUAAAAUAUUCAGAGUUCUCCCACCGCUAAAUCGGUGUCAACGGUCUCAUUUUUUUUUUUAGACUAAAGGAGUUAACUACAUAAACAUAAGAAUUCAUAACAAUUUGUUCACUACCAAAAUUUAUUCAACCACAUCAUAAUUCCAAAAUUAAAUCUUUUUCACAUAAAAAAAAAAACUUUUACAACCAAAUGAUAUAUUAUUUAUUUAAAACUAAAUAAAUACGAAUAUUUUACAAUUCACACAUUCCCAUACUCGACAAUUCAAAUCUUUUUAUCCUUUUUAAGUUAUAUCACUCAACCAUUGGAGCACCAAAAAUUUGAGUUAAUAAAGUACUCUAAAUUUCUUCUUUAAACUAAGUUCAAGAGUAAUUAAAAGAGUAACAUUUUUAACUCUAAAUAUUUUAAUUUCAAUCUAACUUUUUGCUUAAACUCUUUAACUUAGUUAAAAUUUGAAUUUUUUCACAAAUUUAACAACUAUAAAUUUUCUUGUAAAAUUUCAACUUCAGCUCAAACUCGUUUAUUUGAAAACAACUCAUUACAUAAUUCAAACACAACACAAAGUCGAAUUUUCCUCCUUUUAAUCUCUAGGAUUUGGCCACCUCAAUAAUAAUAGGGGUUUACUUUCUUUUCUUAGUGUUUAAGUAAUACACAAUACUGAUUUCACUCUAAACUAAAACAAUCAAGCAAAAUAAAAAUAAAAAUAAAAAUCAUUAAAAUCCUUAUCUAAGUAUAAAGUAACGGUUUUCAAGGAAAGAAAGGGAAAAGUGAAGUACUUCAUUCACUGGUUUGUUAUUACUAACUCUCACUAUAAUCUCAAAACCAUGCUAAAAUGAAAUUUAGAAUAAAGUUUCUUUCCUAGGAUGAAAUAUACGGUUGGUACAAGGAAGAGACCUAGAAGAGUUUCAGGAAAAUGUUUUUCUUGUAUUGUGAAGAGAAAAUUUACCUCAAAUAAGUUUGCUUGAAAGCUUCACAAUGAAGAGGAGAAAGUUUUGUCUUCAAGGAGUUUCUUCAAAUAAGGUUUGAAUCUUGAUAAAAAUGGAGGUUUGUAUUAUUUUUUUUCACUAAAACACCAAGACACUAUAUUUUUUCUUAAAGAGAGAAGAAACAAUUGGAAGGAGUGAACAUCCAAGGGGGUCG
rnacentral:lncRNA from 1 species